CUUGCUCUGCACCCCUGGGCGGGCGACCCAGAAAUCGGGCUUAGAACCCGGGCGCCGCAUCCUGGACGUCUGAGGUGCACUCCUAUGAAGAGUCAAAAGAAGGAAAGAAUGACUAUCACACAUUCAAAAGCAAAGUUCAAGCUCUGCCUUUUCCACAUUCUGUGCUGCUCUAAGAUAGGAACCCAGAAGAGGAAUGGUCUUUUCUUGCAGCUCUAAAAAUCAUG